CGUGAGUGAAGAAGUAUUUCGGUAUGUAAAGCUCUAUCAGCAGGGAAGAAAAUGACGGUACCUGACUAAGAAGCCCCGGCUAACUACGUGCCAGCAGCCGCGGUAAUACGUAGGGGGCAAGCGUUAUCCGGAUUUACUGGGUGUAAAGGGAGCGCAGACGGCUGUGCAAGUCUGGAGUGAAAGGCGGGGGCCCAACCCCCGGACUGCUCUGGAAACUGUAAAGCUGGAGUGCAGGAGAGGUAAGCGGAAUUCCUAGUGUAGCGGUGAAAUGCGUAGAUAUUAGGAGGAACACCAGUGGCGAAGGCGGCUUACUGGACUGCAACUGACGUUGAGGCUCGAAAGCGUGGGGAGCAAACAGGAUUAGAUACCCUGGUAGUCCACGCCGUAAACGAUGAUUACUAGGUGUCGG
rnacentral:rRNA from 1 species